GUAGGUGGCAAGCGUUGUCCGGAAUUAUUGGGCGUAAAGCGCGCGCAGGCGGUUCUUUAAGUCUGAUGUGAAAGCCCACGGCUCAACCGUGGAGGGUCAUUGGAAACUGGAGAACUUGAGUACAGAAGAGGAAAGCGGAAUUCCACGUGUAGCGGUGAAAUGCGUAGAGAUGUGGAGGAACUCCAGUGGCGAAGGCGGCUUUUCUGGUCUGUAACUGACGCUGAGGCGCGAAAGCGUGGGGAGCAAACAGGGAUUAGAUACCCUGGUAGUCCACGCCGUAAACGAUGAGUGCUAAGUGUUAGGGGGGUUUCCGCCCCCUUAGUGCUGCAGCUAACGCAUUAAGCACUCCGCCUGGGGAUACGACCGCAAGGUUG
rnacentral:rRNA from 1 species